rnacentral:rRNA from 1 species
GUGGGGAAUAUUGCACAAUGGGCGAAAGCCUGAUGCAGCAACGCCGCGUGAGGGAAGACGGUCUUCGGAUUGUAAACCUUUGUCCUUGGUGACGAAAAAAAUGACGGUAGCCGAGGAGGAAGCCACGGCUAACUACGUGCCAGCAGCCGCGGUAAUACGUAGGUGGCAAGCGUUGUCCGGAUUUACUGGGUGUAAAGGGAGCGCAGGCGGGGGAGCAAGUCAGCUGUGAAAUAUACGGGCUUAACUCGUAAACUGCAGUUGAAACUGUUCUUCUUGAGUGAAGUAGAGGUAGGCGGAAUUCCGAGUGUAGCGGUGAAAUGCGUAGAGAUUCGGAGGAACACCAGUGGCGAAGGCGGCCUACUGGGCCGUAACUGACGCUGAGGCGCGAAAGCGUGGGGAGCGAACAGGAUUAGAAACCCCGGUAGUCC